GACGAACGCUGGCGGCGUGCUUAACACAUGCAAGUCGUACGGUAAGGCCCUUUCGGGGGUACACGAGUGGCGAACGGGUGCGUAACACGUGAGUAACCUGCCCACAACUUUGGGAUAACGCUAGGAAACUGGUGCUAAUACUGGAUAUGUGCUCCUGCUGCAUGGUGGGGGUUGGAAAGCUCCGGCGGUUGUGGAUGGACUCGCGGCCUAUCAGCUUGUUGGUGGGGUAGUGGCCUACCAAGGCGGCGACGGGUAGCCGGCCUGAGAGGGUGACCGGCCACAUUGGGACUGAGAGACGGCCCAGACUCCUACGGGAGGCAGCAGUGGGGAAUAUUGCACAAUGGGCGCAAGCCUGAUGCAGCAACGCCGCGUGCGGGAUGACGGCCUUCGGGUUGUAAACCGCUUUCAGCAGGGACGAAGCUUUUUGUGACGGUACCUGCAGAAGAAGCACCGGCUAACUACGUG
rnacentral:rRNA from 1 species